UACGUAGGGUGCGAGCGUUAAUCGGAAUUACUGGGCGUAAAGCGUGCGCAGGCGGUGAUGUAAGACAGUUGUGAAAUCCCCGGGCUCAACCUGGGAAUUGCGUUGGAGACUGCAAGGCUGGAGUCUGGCAGAGGGGGGUAGAAUUCCACGUGUAGCAGUGAAAUGCGUAGAGAUAGUGGAGGAACACCGAUGGCCGAAGGCAGCCCCCUGGGUCAAG
rnacentral:rRNA from 1 species